rnacentral:rRNA from 1 species
GAUGAACGCUGGCGGCGUGCCUAAUACAUGCAAGUCGAGCGAACGGACGAGAAGCUUGCUUUUCUGAUGUUAGCGGCGGACGGGUGAGUAACACGUGGAUAACCUACCUAUAAGACUGGGAUAACUUCGGGAAACCGGAGCUAAUACCGGAUAAUAUUUUGAACCGCAUGGGUCAAAAGUGAAAGACGGUCUUGCUGUCACUUAUAGAUGGAUCCGCGCUGCAUUAGCUAGUUGGUAAGGUAACGGCUUACCAAGGCAACGAUGCAUAGCCGACCUGAGAGGGUGAUCGGCCACACUGGAACUGAGACACGGUCCAGACUCCUACGGGAGGCAGCAGUAGGGAAUCUUCCGCAAUGGGCGAAAGCCUGACGGAGCAACGCCGCGUGAGUGAUGAAGGUCUUCGGAUCGUAAAACUCUGUUAUUAGGGAAGAACAUAUGUGUAAGUAACUGUGCACAUCUUGACGGUACCUAAUCAGAAAGCCACGGCUAACUACGUG